UACGUAGGGGGCAAGCGUUGUUCGGAAUUACUGGGCGUAAAGGGCGCGUAGGCGGCACGGCAAGUCAGGAGUGAAAGGCCUGGGCUCAACCGAGGAACUGCUUUUGAGACUGCCGAGCUAGAGUGCAGAAGGGGCAACUGGAAUUCCCAGUGUAGCGGUGAAAUGCGUAGAUAUUGGGAAGAACACCUGAGGCGAAGGCGGGUUGCUGGGCUGACACUGACGCUGAGGCGCGAAAGCUAGGGGAGCAAACAGG
rnacentral:rRNA from 1 species